rnacentral:tRNA from 1 species
GAGCCAUUAGCUCAGCAGGUAGAGCACCGGACUUUUAAUCCGGGUGUCCCGCGUUCGAAUCGCGGAUGGCUCACCA